ACCCUUUAAUGUUUGAUGUUCUAACGUGGACCCGUGAUCCGGGUUGCGGACAGUGUCUGGUGGGUAGUUUGACUGGGGCGGUCUCCUCCUAAAGAGUAACGGAGGAGCACGAAGGUUGGCUAAUCCUGGUCGGACAUCAGGAGGUUAGUGCAAUGGCAUAAGCCAGCUUGACUGCGAGCGUGACGGCGCGAGCAGGUGCGAAAGCAGGUCAUAGUGAUCCGGUGGUUCUGAAUGGAAGGGCCAUCGCUCAACGGAUAAAAGGUACUCCGGGGAUAACAGGCUGAUACCGCCCAAGAGUUCAUAUCGACGGCGGUGUUUGGCACCUCGAUGUCGGCUCAUCACAUCCUGGGGCUGAAGUAGGUCCCAAGGGUAUGGCUGUUCGCCAUUUAAAGUGGUACGCGAGCUGGGUUUAGAACGUCGUGAGACAGUUCGGUCCCUAUCUGCCGUGGGCGCUGGAGAACUGAGGGGGGCUGCUCCUAGUACGAGAGGACCGGAGUGGACGCAUCACUGGUGUUCGGGUUGUCAUGCCAAUGGCACUGCCCGGUAGCUAAAUGCGGAAGAGAUAAGUGCUGAAAGCAUCUAAGCACGAAACUUGCCCCGAGAUGAGUUCUCCCUGAGACUUAAAGUCUCCUGAAGGAACG
rnacentral:rRNA from 1 species